GCCCAGUUGGUGGAAUUGGUAGACACGCUAGCCUUAGGAGCUAGUGCCUUAGGGUGUCAGGGUUCGAGUCCCUGAUUGGGCACCA
rnacentral:tRNA from 1 species